UCUACCUUCCGCUAUGGAUGUGUCAACGUGGUGAAAACUUGAAGUAUUUAAAUAUAUUUAAGGACAUUUUGGUAAAAUCUGAUAGUAUAGAAGGUAGAAUGGCUUCUGCAGGUGCAGCUCUUCCAUCAGUGUUCCCCAUCCAGAUUAUCUGAUGUUUUCAAAAUUGGUCCUAAUAGUAGUGGAAAUGCCUUGGAAUGUGGAGUAGGACAAUCAAUAUGUGACCUGAUUUGGCUGCUGAGGCUUUCUCUUGGUGGAAUGGAAUAGAGAGAGAAGAACAAACUUUCUCUGCCAUGAAAGACAAUGAUUUUAAUCAGGCUCUGAAAUGUCAUUCUCUGGGGAUGUGGAUGUUAAAAUGCCAGCGAGGAGGAGAAGCACCAUCAACACAAACCAGCGGGGCAGCCACGGAGUGAAGCAGCCUCGGUGUGUGGAGCUCUGAUACAACAUCCUGAUACCAAGAUCCUUCAGCUCCCAUCACAGUGAUCCUCACCACCACCACCUUGCCUUCAUUCUCUCUGUAUCUAAAGGAAUUAUUUUCCUUUUUGUUGUUGUAACAUGGACUCUCUCAGAUUCAACUGAGCAGAUCUCAGACUCCAGUGAGCAACCACGAGCGACUGCAGAAGGUGGAGCUGAGGCUGUGCCCUCCUGGAUCCAGCCAAGAUGAAGCAGCACAAGGCAGCUCCAAGAUAAUGAUUUAUUUUUGGCCCAAACUCGGAAUACCUCUCAGGACACCUCAGCAAGGAGGGAGCAAAAGAACCAAUGCAUUAACUCUGAGAAGGGGCAGCAGAAGGAAAGCCUGGAGCUGGAACAUCCUUUGAGCAACAGCAAAGCAAGAGAAAGCAAAAACAUCCCUCUAAGAUGGCUGCAAACAGAAGCUUUCCUGGAGCCAUCCUUGACUCAGCCAAGGCCAGAUGGGACUUCUUCCUUCUUUGCAGAUCCUGAAGAUUAUAAAGCUUCAAUUUACUUUUCCACAACCAAAUGUUUAGUACCUGCUGGACUACAUUUUCCUUUGGUAUUUCUUUUUAGCAGCAGUCCCAAUCUUUAACCCACUGGUUCUUUUGGGUUGAGCCAAGGGUUCAUCUGAUCCACCUGGAAAUAUCAAGUUCCAGGACAUAAGAGCAUCACCUGCCUUCCUGACAAUUCCCAAAUUAAAUGCAGCACAGAAUCUUGGCUAUAUCUCAAAAAUAGGUGAUUUUUAUUUCCUUUAAUUUAAAGAGGAGGAGAGAAUACUUGUAGGAAAAAAAAAAAAAAAGAAAGAUGAGAAGGAAGAGAGAAGGUCAGUGAAUAUCCAGUACUGAUUUAGAAACAGGCUCUGCCAAGCAGGGGGAAAAGGAGCCUUUCCCAAUCCAUUCAGUUUAUGGUUAUUAGUAUUGAUAUUGUAUUUCUCUUGGCUCCCAAAAGGAAAAGUGGGGAAUGAAUCAGGAAAAAAAAAAUACUUUUCUGUAAAUAAUUUUUUUUUCCAAUUCAGAUGUUUUUUAGGAAACUAAUCUGGGGAGGGGGGAAAUCUGCUUCUCAAAUGUCAAGGACUUGAAAGACUAAAAAUACAUCACCGGAAUAAAUAAAUUAACCCAGAAGACA
ensembl:lncRNA